rnacentral:rRNA from 1 species
UACGUAGGGGGCAAGCGUUAUCCGGAUUUACUGGGUGUAAAGGGAGCGCAGGCGGCGAGUUAAGUCAGCGGUAAAAGCCCGGGGCUCAACCCCGGCCCGCCGUUGAAACUGGCAGUCUCGAGUUGGAGAGAAGUAUGCGGAAUGCGCGGUGUAGCGGUGAAAUGCAUAGAUAUCGCGCAGAACUCCGAUUGCGAAGGCAGCAUACCGGCGCCCGACUGACGCUGAAGCACGAAAGCGUGGGUAUCGAACAGG